rnacentral:rRNA from 1 species
UGGGGAAUAUUGCACAAUGGGGGAAACCCUGAUGAAGCGACGCCGCGUGAACGAAGAAGGUAUUCGUAUCGUAAAGUUCUGUCCUAUGGGAAGAUAAUGACAGUACCAUAGAAGAAAGCUCCGGCUAAAUACGUGCCAGCAGCCGCGGUAAUACGUAUGGAGCGAGCGUUGUCCGUGAUUAUUGGGCGUAAAGGGUACGCAGACGGCUUAAUUAGUCGACUGUCUAAUAUCGAGGCUCAAUCCCGCAAAGCAUUGGAAACUUGUAGAUUUGGAUAGUGGAGGGGAAAGUGGGAUUCCUAGUUGAGUGGUGGAAUACGUAGAAAAGAGGAGGAAUACCAGUAGGAAAGGGGAGGUUCUGGACACAAACUGGCGCUGAGGUACGAAAGGGUGGGGAGGAAAGAGG